rnacentral:lncRNA from 1 species
CCUUCCGACGGUGAAUAUUGAUAUUAUUGUCCUCCAGCAAUUCAUAGUCAUCUUCAUCAAGGACGUACUCCUCCCUAAAAUAGCAGGAAUAAAUUUGAUAAAAAUUAAGAUGAAGAUUUUAGCAUCACGUAUGUAUUACAAUUUUAAACAAAAAGUACAUAUGAAAAUAUACAUCCAACUUUAUUCAAUUACGUGUCCAUCUUGACGGAGAGAAAAAGAACAAGGGCAGAUGCCAGACCAUGUGCAUUGCUAUCAACAUGUAUGGCAUGCUUUUUUAAAUAGUAGGACAGAGAUUUAUAAAUAAUACAAAAAACACUUCAAAAAAUUUAGAAGAGAAAAAAGUUAUCAGCUUCAUGAUGCAGGAGAGAUUACCAAAUAUGUAUUACGCACACAACUUAUCUAGAUUAAUUGAAAAACUAUCUACAAAUUUUCAAGCAUUGUUCUUUGUUUUCUGAACAUAUGUUUAUUAACAUCAACCAUAAGCAGAAGUGAAAAGAACACAUAAAGGAUAGAGUAUCAACUUUUUUUUCCUCUUUUUCUUCUUCCGACGCUCUUCAUCACUCUCUGCUCUUUCUUCAUCAUCCUGCUCCUCUUCUUCCUCAAUGUCAUCAACUAUAAAUCCAUCCUUUUCAUAUUCAUCCUGCCCUUCU